rnacentral:rRNA from 1 species
AAUCAACGCUGGCGGCGUGCCUAACACAUGCAAGUCGAACGCGAAAGGGGAGCAAUCCCCGAUUAGAGUGGCAAACGGGUGAGUAACACGUGGGUGACCUGCCUUCGAGUGGGGGAUAACCUUCCGAAAGGAGGGCUAAUACCGCAUGACAUACCGUGUUUGGAUACACGGAUAUCAAAGCCGGGGAUCGCAAGACCUGGCGCUUGGAGAGGGGCCCGCGUCCGAUUAGCUAGUUGGGAGGUAACGGCUCACCAA